ensembl:lncRNA
GAGGGGGCCGGCGCCAUCUUGGUCCCGCGGACUGUGACUUCUGGGGAGCGUGGGAGACGCCGAGAAUAAGUGUCUGGCUGUCUUGGACACGCAGCCGACUCCUCCCGGAGUUCGCUUCAUUUACUACGGAUGUUUCUGUUCUGAGUCUCGUUAGCCGGGGCUACCUGCAGGCUCAUGAUUGCCUGCGCGGGGAGCCAGGCUCCAAGCCUUAGUCAAACCUUGAGUGUAGCUUAAGCAUUUAAGAAAGGUGAAAUGUAGGAAGCCGGUGUAUAGUUAACAAGGCCUAUUUGGGUCUCAUUUCUGUAACGGACACAGCUUAAGGGAGGUGUAGUGGGUUCCUGCAAUGAAGAGCUGUGGGAACCAGCUCCCUGCUGGCUUGAUGGAAAGGUUGGGAAGCUGGGAUAACCAAGUAAACCAGAAUUGGCAAAAUAAGAGACGCAAAAUGGGCGAAAGAAAACUGUUCGGGAUCCGGAGAAAAGAGCGGUGGAAGAGAAAAGGAGACGGGAAAAUAAUCCAGCUGCGAUAUGGCUACUUCAUUUUCGCUGGAAACCCUUGUUAUUUACUGUUCUUUGAAAGGCAGAAAUACGUGUCUUGUAAAUUUUUGGAGUCUCUGAACAUCCACACGCCUGAAUCCUGUUUACACAGUUACUUUCAACAUUUUUUGGAGACCAAAAAGCAA